CUUUAUCACACGUUAGGUUACUUGGUUUUUUUUUAGAUAUAAAACAUACUUUUAUAUUUUCUAAGAUUAAUUCCCCAGUCAAAUGACUAACUUAAGAUACUCUCCAUGACUUUUAAUGAAUUAAUAAUGAUAUAAUUAGAAAUGUACGGAGUCCCAGAGCGCCCAUUGUGUUAUCCUGUGUGCAUGAUUUAGUAGUUCAUGAUCAUAAGAUAGUAUAGCUUAAGCUUUAACUAUUUUGUGCAACUAAAUAAUUAGAUAAAUUGGGAGCACAGAAGAUAUUAACAUGUGCGCAUGAUAUAGCCAAAUUGUGUACACAAUCGACUUAAUCAUACAAACGGGAUAG